rnacentral:lncRNA from 1 species
UUUGAUAAAAGCAAGAGAGGAAAAGUUAUUUGACUUGAUAAGUUCAAGUGCUCCAUCAUCAUCUUCUUCAGAUUUGAUGCCACGUCAAAUGAACAUUGCAUAUAGUAAGUGGCAUAACAACAGGCAUUCUGGUAAACACCUUUAUUCUUUGAGGAUAACUGGACACAAGUUUGGUGACAAUAGUCUUAAUGAUAUAUGUCACCUAAGACACUUGAGGCUUCUUAGAGUGUUGCAACUGGAUGACUCUUCAAUUCUGUUGAGUGAUUCUUUGUUGAAUGAAAUAUGCAGACUGGUUCAUUUGAGAUACUUAGAGAUUCGCACAGAAGUUAAAUCUCUGCCUUCGUCGUUUUCAAAUCUCUUGAAUCUGGAAACUCUGUGGGUGAAUAAAUAUGGACCACCCAUGGUAUUAUUACCAACAAUUUGGAAUCUUAUAAAGUUGCGAGUGCUGGCUAUAUAUAAAUGUUUCUUCUUUGUUUUGUAUAAGAAUGAGUCAAUACUGGUUGCAGAGAACUCAAAGUCAGAGAGCUUGAGAUUAUUACGGGGACUCGAAGUUUCCUAUUCAAAAGACACAGAGGAUAUUUUCAAAAGGUUUCCCAAUCUUCACAAGCUUCGAUUUGAUCUCAAGGAAUCAUGGGAUUGUUCAAGAGGGCGAUAUCGGUUCCCGAAAUUGGACUUCUUAAAUGAACUAGAAUCUCUCGAAGUAACUUUUAUAAGUUCAAAUUCAAAUGAUAGUGCGCUCUCUAUAGCGACAAAUCGGCUUUGGGAUUUUCAUUUCCCUUCGAGUGUAAAAAUGUUGUGUUUGCGUGAGUUUCCUCUGACAUCCGAUUCACUAUCAACAAUUGGAAUACUGUCCAACCUUGAAGAGCUGUACCUUAAAGACACAAUCAUCGAGGGGGAAGAAUGGAACAUGGGGGAGGAAGACACCUUCCAGAAUCUCAAAUGUUUGACAUUGCAGCGAGUGAAUCUUGCUAAGUGGGAGGUUAGAGAGGAAUCCUUUCCUGUGCUUGAGAAAUUACGACAGCGGGAUUGUCGUUAGCUUGAGGAGAUUCAGCCAAGUUUCGGGGAUAUUUGUUCAUUAAAAAGUAUCGAACUGAAGUGGAGCCCUCAACUUGUAGAAUCUGCUCUGAAGAUUAAGCAAGAUGUUGAAGAUAUGAUGGGGGAUAUUCAGGUCCUUGUUUAUAACUGAUCAAGUUUUGAGCAUUUUUACCUUGGGAAAAUAGGUGAGUACAGACGAAUUUAUUACCUCCUCAUUUUCAGUAUAAGUGGCAGAGUUUGACCAGUGUAAUUUUCUUUUGCAGAGUUUGACGAGUUGUUUGCAUAUCAUAUGUUACUGCUCAAGUCCAAAAACAUAUGAUGGAAUAAUUCUUUUGGAAGUUGAUUUGGAGGAUAGCAAGAAGUGAAACAAAAGGUGGGCAACCUCUGUACUAUAUGAAAGUUAUCUUAUACCUCAGAUUUUUCAAGUUUUUAUAUAUCUUUCAACAAAUACCUUCACAAUCAGCUCAUCGGCGCAUAGAGUUUUAGUUGUGAUGCAGGCUGGUGGAAUUCACACGCACCAAGAAUCAGCCCAUCGACGCAUUUGGAGUUGGAGGCUGCUGUAUCAUGAUCGAGAUGUGAAUUCAAUUUAAGUCAGAGUGUAUAUAAUAUAGGCAAGUACAGUGAUGAAGAAGUUGUGAAUACAAUGCCAUUCUCCUCAUCUCUUUCACCAAUCUUUCAAAUGCUACCCACUGAGGGCUCAAAUUUUUAAAAGCAGAAUAAUGGGUGUAAUGCCACUUCCAUUAUUACUAUUCAGCACUAUGUGGGAUUAUACUAGGUCAAAAUAAUUUGAAUUCCUUUAUUUUCCGUAAAGAAGAGGACGUGAUGAGGGUUAUAGUAUUAAGUUAUGACAAUUUAUGUGAUCCCUUAAAGUCGUGCUUGGUUCACCUUGCAUGUUUUCCGGAGGACGAAGUAAUUCCUGUCCGUAAUUUGGAAAUUUUAUGGCCUGCUGAAGGAUUUUUGGAGCAGAGAGAGAAGAAUAGUGUGGAAGAAGUGGUUGCGAUUUAUCUGGAUAAUUUAAUUUCCAGUAGCUUGGUAAUUUCUUUCGAUAAAAUAGGUGACAAUCGGACUUGCCAAAUUCAUGAUCUUGUGCAUGAGUUUUGUUUGAUAAAAGCAAGAGAGGAAAAGUUAUUUGACUUGAUAAGUUCAAGUGCUCCAUCAUCAUCUUCUUCAGAUUUGAUGCCACGUCAAAUGAACAUUGCAUAUAGUAAGUGGCAUAACAACAGGCAUUCUGGUAAACACCUUUAUUCUUUGAGGAUAACUGGACACAAGUUUGGUGACAAUAGUCUUAAUGAUAUAUGUCACCUAAGACACUUGAGGCUUCUUAGAGUGUUGCAACUGGAUGACUCUUCAAUUCUGUUGAGUGAUUCUUUGUUGAAUGAAAUAUGCAGACUGGUUCAUUUGAGAUACUUAGAGAUUCGCACAGAAGUUAAAUCUCUGCCUUCGUCGUUUUCAAAUCUCUUGAAUCUGGAAACUCUGUGGGUGAAUAAAUAUGGACCACCCAUGGUAUUAUUACCAACAAUUUGGAAUCUUAUAAAGUUGCGAGUGCUGGCUAUAUAUAAAUGUUUCUUCUUUGUUUUGUAUAAGAAUGAGUCAAUACUGGUUGCAGAGAACUCAAAGUCAGAGAGCUUGAGAUUAUUACGGGGACUCGAAGUUUCCUAUUCAAAAGACACGGAGGAUAUUUUCAAAAGGUUUCCCAAUCUUCACAAGCUUCGAUUUGAUCUCAAGGAAUCAUGGGAUUGUUCAACAGGGCGAUAUCGGUUCCCGAAAUUGGACUUCUUAAAUGAACUAGAAUCUCUCGAAGUAACUUUUAUAAGUUCAAAUUCAAAUGAUAGUGCGCUCUCUAUAGCGACAAAUCGGCUUUGGGAUUUUCAUUUCCCUUCGAGUGUAAAAAUGUUGUGUUUGCGUGAGUUUCCUCUGACAUCCGAUUCACUAUCAACAAUUGGAAUACUGUCCAACCUUGAAGAGCUGUACCUUAAAGACACAAUCAUCGAGGGGGAAGAAUGGAACAUGGGGGAGGAAGACACCUUCCAGAAUCUCAAAUGUUUGACAUUGCAGCGAGUGAAUCUUGCUAAGUGGGAGGUUAGAGAGGAAUCCUUUCCUGUGCUUGAGAAAUUACGACAGCGGGAUUGUCGUUAGCUUGAGGAGAUUCAGCCAAGUUUCGGGGAUAUUUGUUCAUUAAAAAGUAUCGAACUGAAGUGGAGCCCUCAACUUGUAGAAUCUGCUCUGAAGAUUAAGCAAGAUGUUGAAGAUAUGAUGGGGGAUAUUCAGGUCCUUGUUUAUAACUGAUCAAGUUUUGAGCAUUUUUACCUUGGGAAAAUAGGUGAGUACAGACGAAUUUAUUACCUCCUCAUUUUCAGUAUAAGUGGCAGAGUUUGACCAGUGUAAUUUUCUUUUGCAGAGUUUGACGAGUUGUUUGCAUAUCAUAUGUUACUGCUCAAGUCCAAAAACAUAUGAUGGAAUAAUUCUUUAGGAAGUUGAUUUGGAGGAUUGCAAGAAGUGAAACAAAAGGUGGGCAACCUCUGUACUAUAUGAAAGUUAUCUUAUAUCUCAGAUUUUUCAAGUUUUUAUAUAUCUUUCAACAAAUACCUUCACAAUCAGCUCAUCGGCGCAUAGAGUUUUAGUUGUGAUGCAGGCUGGUGGAAUUUGGACAAGAGGGGUUGCUCUGAUGGUAAGAAACCCCCACUUCCAACCGAGAGGUUGUGAGUUCGAGUCUCCGAAAGAGCAAGGUGGGAAGUUUCUUGGAGGGAAAGAUGCUGGGGGUCUAUUUGGAAACAGCCUCUCUACCCCAGGGUAGAGGUAAGGUCUGAGUACAUACUACCCUCCCCAGACCCCACUAUGUGGGAUUAUACUAGGUCAAAAUAAUUUGAAUUCCUUUAUUUUCCGAAAAGAAGAGGACAUGAUGAGGGUUAUAGCAUUAAGUUAUUACAAUUUACGUGAUCCCUUGAAGUCGUGCUUGAUUCACCUUGCAAGUAUUCCGAAGGACGAAGUAAUUCCAAUCCGUAAUUUGGAAAUUUUAUGGCCUGCUGAAGGAUUUUUGGAGCAGAGAGAGAAGAAGAGUGUGGAAGAAGUGGUUGCGAUUUAUCUGGAUAAUUUAAUUUCCAGUAGCUUGGUAAUUUCUUUCGAUAAAAUAGGUGACGAUCAGACUUGCCAAAUUCAUGAUCUUGUGCAUGAGUUUUGUUUGAUAAAAGCAAGAGAGGAAAAGUUAUUUGACUUGAUAAGUUCAAGUGCUCCAUCAUCAUCUUCUUCAGAUUUGAUGCCACGUCAAAUGAACAUUGCAUAUAGUAAGUGGCAUAACAACAGGCAUUCUGGUAAACACCUUUAUUCUUUGAGGAUAACUGGACACAAGUUUGGUGACAAUAGUCUUAAUGAUAUAUGUCACCUAAGACACUUGAGGCUUCUUAGAGUGUUGCAACUGGAUGACUCUUCAAUUCUGUUGAGUGAUUCUUUGUUGAAUGAAAUAUGCAGACUGGUUCAUUUGAGAUACUUAGAGAUUCGCACAGAAGUUAAAUCUCUGCCUUC